UACGUAGGGUGCGAGCGUUGUCCGGAAUUAUUGGGCGUAAAGGGCUCGUAGGCGGUUUGUCGCGUCGGGAGUGAAAACCAGGUGCUUAACACCUGGCUUGCUUUCGAUACGGGCAGACUAGAGGUAUGCAGGGGAGAACGGAAUUCCUGGUGUAGCGGUGAAAUGCGCAGAUAUCAGGAGGAACACCGGUGGCGAAGGCGGUCUCUGGGCAUGACCUGACGCUGAGGAGCGAAAGUGUGGGGAGCGAACAGG
rnacentral:rRNA from 1 species